UGAGGAAUAUUGGUCAAUGGGCGUAAGCCUGAACCAGCCAUCCCGCGUGCAGGAAGACGGCGCUAUGCGUUGUAAACUGCUUUUCCAGGGGGUGAAACUCUCGUACGAGUACGGGAUUGACGGUACCCUGGGAAUAAGCAUCGGCUAACUCCGUGCCAGCAGCCGCGGUAAUACGGAGGAUGCGAGCGUUAUCCGGAUUUAUUGGGUUUAAAGGGUGCGUAGGCGGAUUGAUAAGUCAGGGGUGAAAACCUGCAGCUUAACUGUAGACUUGCCUUUGAUACUGUCAGUCUUGAGUGUGGUCAAGGUAGGCGGAAUGUGUAAUGUAGCGGUGAAAUGCUUAGAUAUUACACAGAACACCGAUUGCGAAGGCAGCUUGCUGGACCAUUACUGACGCUGAUGCACGAAAGCGUGGGGAUCGAACAGGAUUAGAUACCCUGGUAGUCCACGCCGUAAACGAUGAUCACUCGCUGUUAGCGAUACAC
rnacentral:rRNA from 1 species